rnacentral:lncRNA from 1 species
GAGAAGAAAGCAUGUGAAGAAUACCUCUCUUUGCUUGACUGAUAUAAAUGAUCCAGUUAAAUCCCGAAGUACUUCUAUUAUGUCAUCGAAGAUCACUUUCCCAUUGCAGUCAGAAUCAUUUACUUUGAAGAUAACUGCAACAUAAAAACAGUUGAUAAUACCAGUGAGUAGGUGCGAAUACCAGUCCUAAAGCUGUUAAUAGCGUAAUCAAUGAUAAGGCAUUAGCACUGUCAGGACAUGUUACAGGAGCUGCAAUUAAACCAACUGGUAUAUGUGCAAAUAUGACUGUUACUGAUGCACUAAAACCCCAACUAGGGAUUAAGCUAUUGCAUCUGUGCAACUAAUGGAGAAAUCAGCAGGGCAGUCUAUCCUUCAUACAAAAUCUGCCAUCCCCCCUUCCCUCUAGUAGUUUGAAAAGCGUUACAAUACAACAAAGAGCCAUGCCUUUCACAUCGUUUUAUAUGUAAUAGAAUCAUGAGGUUGAAGUCCUCUCAAUCUCGUUAAAACUAACGUAAAAGUUACAUUUGCAUCUUUUCUU